GGUGAAAAGCACCCCGGAAGGGGAGUGAAAUAGAACCUGAAACCGUGUGCUUACAAGUAGUCAGAGCCCGUUAAUGGGUGAUGGCGUGCCUUUUGUAGAAUGAACCGGCGAGUUACGAUUUGAUGCAAGGUUAAGCAGUAAAUGUGGAGCCGUAGCGAAAGCGAGUCUGAAUAGGGCGUUUAGUAUUUGGUCGUAGACCCGAAACCAGGUGAUCUACCCUUGGUCAGGUUGAAGUUCAGGUAACACUGAAUGGAGGACCGAACCGACUUACGUUGAAAAGUGAGCGGAUGAACUGAGGGUAGCGGAGAAAUUCCAAUCGAACCUGGAGAUAGCUGGUUCUCUCCGAAAUAGCUUUAGGGCUAGCCUCAAGUGAUGAUUAUUGGAGGUAGAGCACUGUUUGGACGAGGGGCCCCUCUCGGGUUACCGAAUUCAGACAAACUCCGAAUGCCAAUUAAUUUAACUUGGGAGUCAGAACAUGGGUGAUAAGGUCCGUGUUCGAAAGGGAAACAGCCCAGACCACCAGCUAAGGUCCCAAAAUAUAUGUUAAGUGGAAAAGGAUGUGGCGUUGCCCAGACAACUAGGAUGUUGGCUUAGAAGCAGCCAUCAUUUAAAGAGUGCGUAAUAGCUCACUAGUCGAGUGACACUGCGCCGAAAAUGUACCGGGGCUAAACAUAUUACCGAAGCUGUGGAUUGUCCUUUGGACAAUGGUAGGAGAGCGUUCUAAGGGCGUUG
rnacentral:rRNA from 1 species